CGAUGGGUAAGACCGUAAGAAAGUUGAGAGUUGAGAUUAUACAGAAAUAACCAAACCGGUCCGGUUACGUGUACGAACCACGAUUCUUGUGAGUUUCCCUAUUUAAAAUAAACCGUACAAGUUCAUGUCUGAAUGUUUGGCACGGACACCGACGGGGGAAACAGCUGUUUUGUCGGCGUCGGUUGGGAGAUUUUGUCGAAGAUCACUGCUUCUUAUAUAUCAGACUCGUCAACAGACAGGGUAACUCUGGAACUAAAGCUAAAGACAAUCUUGCUGAUGCAGUGUGCUACAUGUCCUGCAGAGGUUAGUGUUCUUCACUAAAGG